rnacentral:misc_RNA from 1 species
CAAGUCAUAAUGGAAAAAAGGUUAGUUGGAACCUUGUGUGCCCACACUAAAUUUUCAAUUUGUUUCGUGAAUUCAAAUCUUUUUGUUGGCAAAAAAAUAUGCAUUUUGAAAAGAGGAUGCAAUAGUCGCUGUUGACAUUCUAACAAACGUUAAUUCAAUUCAGAUAAACCUCAAAUGAUCAUCAAAAUUUGUUCAUUAUUUCUAUCCCAAAUUCCUCUGGCUAUAUCCAUAUGCUUAUUGAGUGCGCUCUCAAUCUCAAAUUGAAAGCAGAGACACAUGACAUUUGAGUAUACGAGAUAGAAGAAGCCAAAAAAGAAAAUCUAAUCAUUGAAACAUCUGUAUGCUCACAAUUCACCAUCCCAAAGUUCUUCCACUGUCCUGUAAACGCCGUAAGUCUCAUCUACAAAUCCACUGCCUAUUGUUAGCCUCAUCUGCAUGAUUAAAAUAAUUGUGUCAAUCAACUAAGGUAGAAAUGAAUUAAUUUCACCAAAAAAACCCCAUACCUCUAAAAGAUUCCAACAAUUAUCUAGUGGUUUUAUGAAACAAUUGAACUUGCUGACAGUACAGAAAGAACUACCAAUACUCGCCUGCUCAAUUUCAGUAAAUUUGGCAAACAAAUCGUCAGGAAUAGACCAGUCAAAAACAUCGAAGUUUUCCUUGAUCCUUGCCUUAUUCGUGCUCUUAGGCACUACACUGUGACCCAUUUGAAGUCCCCAUCGCACAGCAACUUGUGCAGGGGUCUUGCCUAAUUUCUCAGCAACUGUAGUGAGAAUAGGAUUCUUGAGAACCUGAGUCUUGACAGUUCCUGUUCCUGGGGAACCUAGUGGCGAAUGCCCCCGAAGAAAAACACACAACAAUUCUUAUUUGGAUGAUCACUCAAUUGGCGGUGUUAAGGAAUAGGCACAUGCGCGCGCACAUAUAUUUUCCAUCUUUCUGAAAGCGGUUGGCAGAACUCAUCUUUUUUCAUUCACAACAAAUCUACCAGAAGCUACUUUACACAACAGAAGUAACUCGAGCAUAUAAAGUAAAAACAAACCACCUCUGUUUUGAAUGCUCAAACUUAAAUGAAUUCCCUUGGAUUUACAGUAUUCAUGAAGCUUUGGCUGCUGCCAUACGGGGUGAAUCUCCACUUGGUUGACAGCAGGAGUAAACGAGCAACAGCCAGCAGAUCUUCAAGCUUCUUUGUAGAGAAAUUACUAACUCCAAUAGCUCGAGCCUUGCCAGAAUCAAACAAUGCUUCCAUUGCUCGCCAUGUGCUGGGUAUAUCAGGGUGUGUAAGGUUCUCGGGCUUAAAACCAACCGACCCUUUCUUCAUGCUGACUGGCCAGUGAAUCUUAUAAUAAUAAAAAAACAAAACAAGACAAAACAAAACUUUUGGUAACUAUAAAUGUUAUGAAUAACAAAAAAAGAACGCUUGUAUGACUCUCAAAUUUCCCAUUUCUUAGAAUUUCAAGCUGACAACAAAUCCAUACCAAGAAAAAUAAUUCAAACUUCAAAGAAUGAAAAAUGAGUACUGGUUAGCAAGGGCGUAUCAAGCAAAAAAUAAGUUAUGAUUGCGAUGAACAUACCAGAUACAGAUCUACAUAAUCGAGUUGCAAGUCCUGCAGAGUUCUAUUUAGUGCUACGGGUACAUCUUCUGGUGCAUGUUCAGUACACCAGAGUUUGGAGGUGAUCCACAACUCCUCACGCUUCACUACGCCAUCAUCAAACAGCUUCUUCAAUGCCGAACCAACCUCCUUCUUAUUGCCAUAAACUGCAGCACAAUCUAUGUGUCUAUAUCCAACCUUAACGGCAGCAGUAACAGCAUCACCAACAACACCAGGGGAAGACUGCCAAGUACCCAGCCCAACAGAAGGGAUUUUGGCUCCGGUGUUCAACUGAAAGAAACGAAUUGCAUUGGCCAUUUCUUUCAAAAACAAACACUUUGCAAAUCAAGAUUUGAGAGAAAAUAAGCAAUGAGUGAUGUAUUUAUAGCACGAAAUGCCAAGGGCAAAGCAAAGGAUCUUUAAAAUUCUAAAA